AGGGCAGCUGCAGGAAUAUACUGAUUUAUAUCCAGGCCUCUGCAGUCAGUUCCUUGGUCCAAAGGGUUGUGUAGGUGCGUCUGGCCAGCCCUACAUUCAAGAGGUGCGACAGUUCUGUGGAGGAGUGUGGAGGAGAGAUGAAGAUGCAGAGGAGGACAUGAAACAUCCUGCAGGGAUCAUUGUGCUGAAGAAUUACGAGGGGCAGGAAGCUGACUGUUUUCAUACUCUGUCCCUCUGCGUGGACGUCUUGGAGUGGAGCACCUGACAGCUGAGGGACACUCAGCGUUUACCUGCAUGGAUCUGCUGGAUUAUUACCUGAGUGGCACCUGGGCAGACUGCUGUGGUGGAUUAUUCCAGAUUGGUUCCUGGUUUACAGUGAUUGGGCUCUUAGCUGAUGUCUCUACCUGCAUCGCGACUGAAGAAUGG